rnacentral:tRNA from 1 species
GCGCGAGUGGCGGAAUUGGCAGACGCGCAGGAUUUAGGUUCCUGUGCCGCAAGGCGUGCGGGUUCAAGUCCCGCCUCGCGCA